AACGAACGCUGGCGGCAUGCCUAACACAUGCAAGUCGAACGAGACCUUCGGGUCUAGUGGCGCACGGGUGCGUAACGCGUGGGAACCUGCCCUUAGGUUCGGAAUAACUCCCCGAAAGGGGUGCUAAUACCGGAUAAUGUCUUCGGACCAAAGAUUUAUCGCCUUUGGAUGGGCCCGCGUUGGAUUAGCUAGUUGGUAGGGUAAAAGCCUACCAAGGCGACGAUCCAUAGCUGGUCUGAGAGGAUGAUCAGCCACACUGGGACUGAGACACGGCCCAGACUCCUACGGGGGGCAGCAGGGGGGAAUAUUGGACAAUGGGCGAAAGCCUGACCCAGCAAUGCCGGGUGAGUGAUGAAGGCCUUAGGGUUGUAAAGCUCUUUUACCCGGGAUGAUAAUGACAGUACCGGGAGAAUAAGCCCCGGCUAACUCCGU
rnacentral:rRNA from 1 species